rnacentral:rRNA from 1 species
AUUGAACGCUGGCGGUAUGCUUAAGACAUGCAAGUCGAACGGUAAGCUCUUCGGAGCCUAGAGUGGCGAACGGGUGAGUAACACGUGGGAAUCUACCCAGUAGCGGGGGAUAGCCUGGAGAAAUCCAGAUUAAUACCGCAUACGCUCUACGGAGGAAAGGCUUCGGCCACUAUUGGAUGAGCCCGCGUUGGAUUAGCUAGUUGGUGAGGUAAAGGCUCACCAAGGCGACGAUCCAUAGCUGGUCUGAGAGGAUGAUCAGCCACAUCGGAACUGAGACACGGUCCGGACUCCUACGGGAGGCAGCAGUGGGGAAUAUUGCACAAUGGACGAAAGUCUGAUGCAGCAACGCCGCGUGGAGGAUGACACAUUUCGGUGCGUAAAACUCCUUUUAUAUGAGAAGAUAAUGACGGUAUUAUAUGAAUAAGCACCGGCUAACUCCGUGCCAGCAGCCGCGGU